rnacentral:rRNA from 1 species
GACGAACGCUGGCGGCGUGCUUAACACAUGCAAGUCGAGCGGUAAGGCUCCUUCGGGAGUACACGAGCGGCGAACGGGUGAGUAACACGUGAGUAAUCUGCCCUUCACUUCGGGAUAACCACCGGAAACGGUGGCUAAUACCGAAUACGACCAGUCUUCGCAUGAGGUGCUGGUGGAAAGUCUUUUCGGUGAAGGAUGUGCUCGCGGCCUAUCAGCUUGUUGGUGGGGUAAUGGCCUACCAAGGCUUCGACGGGUAGCCGGCCUGAGAGGGUGACCGGCCACACUGGGACUGAGACACGGCCCAGACUCCUACGGGAGGCAGCAGUGGGGAAUAUUGGGCAAUGGGCGAAAGCCUGAUCCAGCAACGCCGCGUGAGGGAUGACGGCCUUCGGGUUGUAAACCUCUUUCAGUACCGACGAAGCGCCCUGUCGGGUGGUGACGGUAGGUACAGAAGAAGGACCGGCCAACUACGUG